rnacentral:rRNA from 1 species
GACGAACGCUGGCGGCGUGCUUAACACAUGCAAGUCGAACGGAAAGGCCCUGCUUUUGUGGGGUGCUCGAGUGGCGAACGGGUGAGUAACACGUGAGUAACCUGCCCUUGACUUUGGGAUAACUUCAGGAAACUGGGGCUAAUCCCGGAUAGGAGCUCCUGCUGCAUGGUGGGGGUUGGAAAGUUUCGGCGGUUGGGGAUGGACUCGCGGCUUAUCAGCUUGUUGGUGGGGUAGUGGCUUACCAAGGCGAUGACGGGUAGCCGGCCUGAGAGGGUGACCGGCCACACUGGAACGGAGACACGGUCCAGACGCCUAAGGGAGGCAGCAGUGGGGAAUAGUGGACAAUGGGCGAAAGCGUGAUCCAGCCAUACCGCGUGGGUGAAGAAGGCCUUCGGGUGGGAAAGCCGUGUUGUUGGGAAAGAAAAGCAGCAGGUUAAUACCCCGCUGUUCUGACGGUACCCAAAGAAUAAGCACCGGCUAACUUUGUG